AUGUGUGUCCCAAAGGACAAAGGUGGAAUGGGGUUUCGCGAUGUGCAUAUCUUUGACUUGGCAAUGCUAAUGGAAAAAUGUUGGAGACCCAUAGAGCACCAUGAUUCAUUAUGUGCAAAGGUGCUUCGAUCCAAGUAUUACUCAUCCGAUGAGUUGCUCAACCGCGAGUUAAAUAAAGGUGCAUCUUAUGUAUGGCAAAGUAUUUGGGUUCGAGUUUAA
rnacentral:rRNA from 1 species